CGAGCUGGCCGGGCGGCCGCGUCAGUGUCGGCUCGUGGGGACAUGCGCCGCGCUGCCGAGGAAAGUCCGGACUCCGCAGGGCAGGGUGGUUGCCAACGGCAACCCGGGGUGACCCGCGGGACAGUGCCACAGAAAACAGACCGCCCCGCGCGAGCGGGGUAAGGGUGAAACGGUGGUGUAAGAGACCACCAGCGCCCCGGGUGACCGGGGUGGCUCGGUAAACCCCACCCGGAGCAAGGCCAAGAGGGCGCCGCUCGCGGUGCCUGCGCAGGCGUUCGAGGGUUGCCCGCCCGAGGCCUGCGGGUAGGCCGCUGGAGCCCGCCGGCAACGGCGGGCCGAGAUGGAUGGCCGCCGAACGGGACCGCCGUAAGGCACCCGGGAACAGGAUCCGGCUUACAGGCCAGCUCGUCCG
rnacentral:RNase_P_RNA from 1 species